AUACGUAGGGAGCGAGCGUUGUCCGGAAUUACUGGGUGUAAAGGGAGCGUAGGCGGGAAGGCAAGUUGGAUGUGAAAACUGUGGGCUCAACCGACAGACUGCAUUCAAAACUGUUUUUCUUGAGUGAAGUAGAGGCAAGCGGAAUUCCUAGUGUAGCGGUGAAAUGCGUAGAUAUUAGGAGGAACACCAGUGGCGAAGGCGACUUACUGGACUGUAACUGACGCUGAGGCGCGAAAGUGUGGGGAGCAAACAGGAUUAGAUACCCUGGUAGUCCACACGGUAAACGAUGAAUGCUAGGUGUAGGGGGUAUCGACCCCUUCUGUGCCGCAGUCAACACAAUAAGCAUUCCGCCUGGGGAGUACGGCCGCAAGGUUGAAACUCAAAUGAAUUGACGGGG
rnacentral:rRNA from 1 species